GUCCAUUAACUAAACAUAUCUGAAUUUCGUGCAGGUAAGCAGCAUAAGAGCAGCAUGCCCUGGUCACCAGAUAUUGACAACUUUUAGUGAACCUUGGUCACCAGAUUGACAAUAGCUACUUGGGUUGAUCUCCUUGCAAGAUAAUUAGUGCUUGGUACUGCUUAGUACUGGUUAAAUUACCAGUUUAACAAGUCUAGAUGCCUAUUGUAGUGAACUGCAAUCUUUUUUUCAGGUUAAGGGAUAGUGAAUUGCAAUUAAGUUGCUCUGGGUGCUUGGUACUGGAUUCGAUUUGCUGUUUUGUUCUAAGUUUUCCCUUUCCUGUGAGGAUUGUACCUAAAAUGGUUUCUUCCAAGAAGACGUUUGCUCGGAGAAAGGUUAGGUUAUUUCAUGCCUUUGCAGUUGCAGCUAACUAAUCAUCUACAAAAUGAUUAUUCUUUUGGCUACCAGUUCAAUAAUUAUUGAAGCUCAUUUGAAGUUCAUGAUGUUCAUCAAUAGUCAUUUAAGCAGAAGUCCCUGGCUGGAAAUAAGGAUGCAGAUUAGAUAAUUAUGGUGACUUUAGAGAUAGUUGUCGAUUGAUAUGAAUGACUUCAAAAGAUUGUGUAUGUGUAUGUGUAUGUGUAUCUGUAAUGUAUAUAUGGAUAGAUCCUAUAUAUUUGUGACGUAAAUAAGACCUAUUU